GGGGAGUUAGCUCAAUCAGGUUAGAGCAUCCGUCUCAUACACGGCAGGUUCUCGGUUCGAGUCCGAGGCUCCCUACCA
rnacentral:tRNA from 1 species